GAGCACGCCGCGUGAGUGAUGAAGGUCUUCGGAUCGUAAAACUCUGUUAUUAGGGAAGAACAAAUGUGUAAGUAACUGUGCACGUCUUGACGGUACCUAAUCAGAAAGCCACGGCUAACUACGUGCCAGCAGCCGCGGUAAUACGUAGGUGGCAAGCGUUAUCCGGAAUUAUUGGGCGUAAAGCGCGCGUAGGCGGUUUUUUAAGUCUGAUGUGAAAGCCCACGGCUCAACCGUGGAGGGUCAUUGGAAACUGGAAAACUUGAGUGCAGAAGAGGAAAGUGGAAUUCCAUGUGUAGCGGUGAAAUGCGCAAAGAUAUGGAGGAACACCGGUGGCGAAGGCGACUUUCUGGUCUGUAACUGACGCUGAUGUGCGAAAGCGUGGGGAUCAAACAGGAUUAGAUACCCUGGUAGUCCACGCCGUAAACGAUGAGUGCUAAGUGUUAGGGGGUUUCCGCCCCUUAGUGCUGCAGCUAACGCAUUAAGCACUCCGCCUGGGGAGUACGACCGCAAGGUUGAAACUCAAAGGAAUUUGACGG
rnacentral:rRNA from 1 species